rnacentral:rRNA from 1 species
GAACGCACAGCGAAAGGUGCUUGCACCUUUCAAGUGAGUGGCGAACGGGUGAGUAACACGUGGACAACCUGCCUCAAGGCUGGGGAUAACAUUUGGAAACAGAUGCUAAUACCGAAUAAAACUUAGUGUCGCAUGACAAAAAGUUAAAAGGCGCUUCGGCGUCACCUAGAGAUGGAUCCGCGGUGCAUUAGUUAGUUGGUGGGGUAAAGGCCUACCAAGACAAUGAUGCAUAGCCGAGUUGAGAGACUGAUCGGCCACAUUGGGACUGAGACACGGCCCAAACUCCUACGGGAGGCUGCAGUAGGGAAUCUUCCACAAUGGGCGAAAGCCUGAUGGAGCAACGCCGCGUGUGUGAUGAAGGCUUUCGGGUCGUAAAGCACUGUUGUAUGGGAAGAACAGCUAGAAUAGGAAAUGAUUUUAGUUUGACGGUACCAUACCAGAAAGGGACGGCUAAAUACGUGCCAGCAGCCGCGGUAAUACGUAUGUCCCGAGCGUUAUCCGGAUUUAUUGGGCGUAAAGCGAGCGCAGACGGUUUAUUAAGUCUGAUGUGAAAGCCCGGAGCUCAACUCCGGAAUGGCAUUGGAAACUGGUUAACUUGAGUGCAGUAGAGGUAAGUGGAACUCCAUGUGUAGCGGUGGAAUGCGUAGAUAUAUGGAAGAACACCAG